GAUGAACGCUGGCGGCGUGCCUAAUACAUGCAAGUCGAGCGAACAGAUGAGGAGCUUGCUUCUCUGAUGUUAGCGGCGGACGGGUGAGUAACACGUGGAUAACCUACCUAUAAGACUGGGAUAACUUCGGGAAACCGGAGCUAAUACCGGAUAAUAUUUUGAACCGCAUGGUUCAAUAGUGAAAGACGGUCUUGCUGUCACUUAUAGAUGGAUCCGCGCCGCAUUAGCUAGUUGGUAAGGUAACGGCUUACCAAGGCAACGAUGCAUAGCCGACCUGAGAGGGUGAUCGGCCACACUGGAACUGAGACACGGUCCAGACUCCUACGGGAGGCAGCAGUAGGGAAUCUUCCGCAAUGGGCGAAAGCCUGACGGAGCAACGCCGCGUGAGUGAUGAAGGUCUUCGGAUCGUAAAACUCUGUUAUUAGGGAAGAACAAAUGUGUAAGUAACUAUGCACAUCUUGACGGUACCUAAUCAGAAAGCCACGGCUAACUACGUG
rnacentral:rRNA from 1 species